rnacentral:rRNA from 1 species
UACGUAGGAGGCAAGCGUUUGUCCGGAAUUACUGGGCGUAAAGCGCACGUAGGCGGAUUUGUAGGUCAGGGGUGAAAUCCCGGGGCUCAACCUCGGAACUGCCUUUGAUACUGCAAAUCUCGAGUCCGAUAGAGGUGGGUGGAAUUCCUAGUGUAGAGGUGAAAUUCGUAGAUAUUAGGAAGAACACCGGUGGCGAAGGCGGCCCACUGGAUCGGUACUGACGCUGAGGUGCGAAAGCGUGGGGAGCAAACAGG